rnacentral:tRNA from 1 species
GAGGGAGUGGCAGAGCUUGGUCAAAUGCGCAGGAUUGAGGUUCCUGUUCCUUUGUGGAUGCCUGGGUUCAAAUCCCAGCUCCCUCA